AACGAACGCUGGCGGCAGGCUUAACACAUGCAAGUCGAGCGCCCCGCAAGGGGAGCGGCAGCCGGGUGAGUAACGCGUGGGAACGUACUUUUUGGUUCGGAACAACUCCGGGAAACUGGAGCUAAUACCGGAUAAGCCCUAACGGGGAAAGAUUUAUCGCCGAAAGAUGGGUCCGCGUCUGAUUAGCUAGUUGGUGAGGUAACGGCACACCAAGGCGACGAUCAGUAGCUGGUCUGAGAGGAUGAGCCGCCACACUGGGACUGAGACACAGCCCAGACUCCUACGCGAGGCAGCAGUGGGGAAUAGUGGACAAUGGGCGCAAGCAUGAUCCAGCCAGGCCGGGUGAGCGAUGAAGGCCUUAGGGUUGUAAAGCUCUUUUGUCUGGGAAGAUAAUGACUGUACCGGAAGAAUAAGCCCCGGCUAACUUCGUG
rnacentral:rRNA from 1 species